AUACGUAGGGGGCGAGCGUUGUCCGGAAUUACUGGGCGUAAAGGGUGCGUAGGCGGCCCUGCAGGUCAGAUGUGAAAUACCCGUGCUUAACAUGGGGGCUGCAUUUGAAACCGUAGGGCUUGAGUGCGGAAGAGGUAAGUGGAAUUCCCGGUGUAGCGGUGAAAUGCGUAGAGAUCGGGAGGAACACCAGUGGCGAAGGCGACUUACUGGGCCGCAACUGACGCUGAGGCACGAAAGCGUGGGGAGCAAACAGGAUUAGAUACCCUGGUAGUCCACGCCGUAAACGAUGGAUACUAGGUGUAGAGGGUAACACCCCCUCUGUGCCGAAGUUAACG
rnacentral:rRNA from 1 species